GCUGCUGCGGCCGCCGGAGGGCGCGCUGGGGGAGGAGCCGCAGCCGCAGCCGCAGCCGCCCCGCGGGCCCCGGGCGGCCUAUUGGCUGAGCACCUUCGGCCAAGUGGGCAAGUACAUAGAGAAGCUCUUCAACAGCAGCUUGAAAUCUAAGGAUGUUAAACACCCCAAGAAAGCCGACAACAGCACAAAAGCCCCCCCAGUGAACGCCAGGAAACCCCCACCAGCAAACGCCACGAGCCUCCCUCCACCGAACCCCGCCAACCCGCGGAAUCCCACUAACCCCGCACCGCGCGGCGCCACGAAACCCUGACCACCGAGCUCCUCCCAGGGUCCCAGGUAGGAGAGCUGGGCACAGCCGGCACCAACCAGUCAGGAGCCUCGGAACUGGGGGCAGGUUGGGCGGGAGCGAGAGGAAGACCUGGGGAGCAGGGGUACCAGGGCCACAGGGACUUCCUUCUCCAGGCUGGGCUUUCCCCUCCAGAUGCCCGACUCAGGUCUCCUCGCGGGUCCACCGAUCUCCACCUUUUUUAUGAGAGGGGCCCUAACUCCUCCCACCCCACCCCCAGUGAGAACAAUAAAGAGAAAUGGAAUGUC